rnacentral:sRNA from 1 species
GAACAGUUAGAAAUCAGGCUGCAGAAAUGUGAGGGGUGGGAACAAAUAGAAAUCAGUCUGCCCAAUUGUAGUUCUCUGCAGGUCACUAGUUUUCCGGCAGUUCAGCUGCACAUGAAUAGAACAGCAAUGAGAGCCAGUCAGAAGGACUUUGAAAAUGCAGUGAAUCAAGUGAAACUCUUGAAAAAGGAUCCAGGAAACGAAGUGAAGCUAAAACUCUACGCGCUGUAUAAGCAGGCCACUGAAGGACCUUGUAACAUGCCCAAACCGGGUAUAUUUGACUUGAUCAACAAGGCCAAAUGGGAUGCAUGGAAUGCCCUUGGCAGCCUGCCCAAGGAAGCUGCCAGGCAGAACUAUGUGGAUUUGGUGUCCAGUUUGAGUCCUUCAUUGGAAUCCUCUAGUCAGGUGGAGCCUGGAACAGACAGGAAAUCAACUGGGUUUGAAACUCUGGUGGUGACCUCCGAAGAUGGCAUCACAAAGAUCAUGUUCAACCGGCCCACAAAGAAAAAUGCCAUAAACACUGAGAUGUAUCAUGAAAUUAUGCAUGCACUUAAAGCCGCCAGCAAGGAUGACUCAAUCAUCACUGUUUUAACAGGAAAUGGUGACUAUUACAGUAGUGGGAAUGAUCUGACUAACUUCACUGAUAUUCCCCCUGGUGGAGUAGAGGAGAAAGCUAAAAAUAAUGCCGUUUUACUGAGGUAAGAGUAACUGACCUUUGUCUGAUCCCAGAGGGCCCGUUCUUAGUCAUCAAAGUGGUACUUAGUGAGCAAAAGUGCAAUAUCUACUUCUCUGUGUCAGUGCAGUUAAUUGUGACUUUGGACAAGCAUAUUUCUCUAAACUGCCUCCAUCCAUAGGUGGGCAUUCAUUCUUUCUCUUUGACCUCUGUUACCUGUUCAUCCUGCUGGUCUCAUGAGAUUGGACUGGAAAACAUAAAAGUGAGCUAUAGUCGUAAACAAAAUUAUCUUGCAUUGAGGCAGAGGAAUUUAGCCAAUUCUCAUCCAGCCAGAGGAAUGGGAGAUUUCCAUGAAUGCUGAAAGUAGGAGACUUGGAGGAGUCUUGUAAAACACAGGAGGAGGUCAUGAAGGCUUUCCUCUUUAUUUCUGCCAAAUCUGUAAUUCCCACUUGCUGUGAUAUUGCAGCAUGUGCUCAGUCACCCAACCUAAUCUCUAAGACUGCGGCUGGUUUACAGCCCUGAACUCACUGUCCAGAAUACAAGAUUCAAACCAGAGUUGACCCGUAGGUCUCACUGGUUGGUCUUCCAUCCACUGCCAUUCAGACAGAUGCCCUGGAUGAAUCUGGUGCAGAAGACCAGGGAAGUGACAGGACAGGGAGGCACUGCUGGUGGUGGCUGUGGAAAUACCCAGCCUAACAGAAGGCUUUAUCUCAGAGUCAGACUGUCUUGCCCAUGCUUCAGUCAUGCUGCUUUGGCACAUUUAAUGAUUUUGUGUUUCCAUUUCUGUAGGGAAUUUGUGGACUGUUUUAUAGAUUUUCCUAAGCCUCUGAUUGCAGUGGUUAAUGGUCCCGCUGUGGGCAUCUCCGUCACCCUCCUUGGGCUAUUCGAUGCCGUGUAUGCAUGUGACAGGGCAACAUUUCAUACACCAUUUAGUCACCUAGGCCAAAGUCCGGAAGGAUGCUCCUCUUACACUUUUCCGAAGAUAAUGAGCCCAGCCAAGGUAACUUUUGGAAUGUUUAAAAAUAAAAUUUUAUGAGUCAUCUCAAGAAAGAAGGAAGAGUAAUCUCAUAUACUCUGCCUUCUUUCCCUUGGUAAUAUGGACAAAAGAGAAGCUAAUUAUUUGCUCUUCAACUCUAAGAGUUUUACCAGUGGAGGAAUCAGGCUAUGGGAAGUAUCUGCUACGCAGGAAAAUUAGAAAUUCUCUCUGCAACUCCCAGAACUGGGAUCCUCCUCUUCAGCUGGCUGCUUAGUGCUAGCUGCAUUGCAAGCACCUCAGCCUUGCAGCUGUGUGGCAUCAGUCACUUGAAGGACCAGGGCUGUGCCAGCCUCCCUUGGUCCCCUGAGUUUGGAGGCCACUCGGUUCCUUUAUGGAUGACCAGUAUCUCCUAAGGAGAGACAUGAUGAUGUCUUCACUUUCAGAGUUACAGUAAGUACCAACAGAUGGGAGGUUUUGUGGGGGCUCACGGCUGCCAGAGCCACCCCCAAUCACAGCAGCCCUUCCAUCAGCCUGCUCAUGGGUGUAUUCUCUCCCAGGCUGGUGAAGUGGCUGCUCAGGUCUUUCACUGUGUUUCCUAGUUGCCCAUGCCCUGUGGCAUGACCCGAAGGGGAUUGUGACAAGACUAGAAGCUGAGUUAUAGGAAAAGGCUUAGCAAAUAUUGCUGCAAGAUCUCAAAGUGGGGCAGUGGGAAUUGAGCCUGUUUUCAUUGCCUAUUAGGAUUUUGUUAAAAACUUAUAUAUGUAUGUUUUUACUCUCAUUAGGCUAUCGCAUACCCUGAAUUGAACUUGGGAAGGGGACAGAACUGACUCUACAAGUCUUAGAGCAUUUGGCUAUUAGAAUAUUCCUUGGCUGGGUGCAGUGGCUCACACCUGUAAUCCCAGCACUUUGGGAGGCCAAGGCUGGUGGAUCACUUGAGAUCAGGAGUUCAAGACCAGCCGGGCCAACAUAGUGAAACCCUGUCUCUACUAAAAAUACAAAAAUUACCCGGGGCAUGGUGGCGGGCACCUGUAAUCCCAGCUACUUGAGAGGCUGAGGCAGGAGAAUCAUUUGAACCCAGGAGGCGGAGGUUACACUGAGCCAAGAUCGUGCCUCUGCACUCCAGCCUGGGCAACACAGUGAGACUCUGUCUCAAAAAAAAGAAGAGCAUUCCUUUUCUGGAAAAGAAAUUGCAGAUGUAGAGAGGAUAUCCACUUAAUGUUCUCAGUUUUUUCGGAAGCUAACUAAACUAUAAGUCUUUGCUUUUCUUUAGUCAAAUAGAACUAAUUUGAGUACCAAUGCAGGUAAAGAAAACUCUCAGAGCCAGAUCACUGGGUAGAGUUUCCAGAGAAUGGAAUUUUGAAAGUUUCUAAAGGUUGACCCAAUGACCGUGAUUUUUCUCUCCUUUUUUCCUCUUUAAAAUAAUAGUUUAUAGUGUAUAAAAUGGAAAAUCAUAGCUGCUGUGGGUUAUAGAAUCAAGCGUCUGCUUCAGAUCAUUUCUGCCCUGGACCCCCUGAUCUUGCCCCUCCAACAAUGACACACAGAAGCAGCAGCCCUUACAGACCUUCCCAGGAGCCUGUCUCAGCACACAGUUUGCAAACCAUUGCCUAUUGAGGUCAUCAGCUUCUCCCUUACUGAGAAAUACCAGCAACCUCAAAAGACCAUGAGUAAAUCUCUCUAAGCCUCCUGAAAGCAGUUAACUGAAGCCUUGUUUUAUUAAGUUAGUAUCUUAACCUUGCUUCUUGCUUUUCAUUUCAGGCAACAGAGAUGCUUAUUUUUGGAAAGAAGUUAACAGCGGGAGAGGCAUGUGCUCAAGGACUUGUUACUGAAGUUUUCCCUGAUAGCACUUUUCAGAAAGAAGUCUGGACCAGGCUGAAGGCAUUUGCAAAGCUUCCCCCAAAUGCUGUGAGAAUUUCAAAAGAGGUAAUCAGGAAGAGAGAGAGAGAAAAACUACACGCUGUUAAUGCUGAAGAAUGCAGUGUCCUUCAGGGAAGAUGGCUAUCAGAUGAAUGCACGAAUGCUGUGGUGAACUUCUUAUCCAGAAAAUCAAAACUGUGAUGACCGCUACAGCAGAGUAAAGCACGUCCAAGGAAGGAUGUGCUGUUACCUCUGAUUUCCAGUACUGGAACUAAAUAAGCUUCAUUGUGCCUUUUGUAGUGCUAGAAUAUCAAUUACAAUGAUGAUAUUUCACUACAGCCCUGAUGAAUAAAAAGUUUUGUAAAAC